UCUCAGGGUAAGGUACGUGGGAAGAAGGGAGAUACUGCACUCCCAGACAAUCGUCCUGCAAUCACAGCCUGCCGUAUCUAUGUAAAGUUAAUAAGUAAGAUUUAAGCAGGCAGGUCCCAUCAUUGCAAAGCAGCUAGAAAGGGUAAAAGUGCCAGUGGGCAGGCCGUGCAUCCCUCUGGAAGACUGGAAAAGCAAAGGAGGAGGACACCUGGGGCAGCUCCUCGAGGAAGACUCCGUGGAGCCAAGAAGUAAACAGUCUUCGUAUCCAGAUGCACUGGGUUAAGUGUGACCGAAGCACACGGAACACCUGCUUUGACAGAGCACCCCAGCACACCUGCGGUUUUACGAGGCCGAUAAAGGGGGCUGUGAAGUCACAGGGGCAAUGUCCUGCUAUUCACAUAGAGCUUUCCUCUGGGAGUGGUGCUUUGUGCCCUCGUGUCCAUUUCUGAUUGAGCCUGUCACCUAAAGGAAAAGUGGAGAAGGGUCUUCGAGGAGGCGCAGGAGAGCUCCACCACAUAGAGGUCCCAAGCAUCUGGAAACCAAGACUGUCCUCCUUCGAGCAGGGGUGGCAUUGUCUUGGCUCCAUAGUUCCUAAGGACAUAUAUGGCUCUGUUUUGUUCCUUCAACGUACGUCCAAAAGCCAGUAUCAAAUGUCCUUCCUGAAGACUGGAUGAACUCAGGUCAACUGUAACAAAACAGUCAAUGGCCAGCAGUUCACGACACAUUUGUCACUCAUGGUUCUGGAGUCUGGGGAGCCCUCAGUCAAGGAUACUGACCACGGUUACAGAAAAAGAAUCUUUCAGAGACAUAUAUAUCUACCUAUCGAUACACAUUCAGCCCCCAACAGCAGCAGGGAAUUGCAGCGCCUCUUAAUUACCCAGGAAGUGACAGGGUCAAGAGGUGUCUGCAAGCUGCCUUGUGGUUCUGGGCAUUGAUUUCUCGACAUUGUCGCUGCUGGAGUGCAGAGCCACAGCCGCGUGGGGUUUUGUCCACUGUUUAAAUUUCUCCCUUUCUUCCUUCCCUCCCUCACUCAUUUUGCUUUUGAAUUUGAAAAGAAACUUCUGGCACAUUGAGCGUAGACUGUAAAUUCAUAAAGGCAGGAGAUCUUUGAGGUUGACUGACCUGCCAUAAUUACCACUUGGGCACAGAAGAGGAGGCCACAGACUGGAGGAGACGCCCUCUCUGGUCCCCACCACCACCUUCCCUGUGCCUCUCUUUACUUCCUUCUUAUUAUGUUAGGUUCUUCCAAAGGGAAAAAAAAAUGACAAUUAAAAAAAAUGAA